UUGUAAAUAAAUGAUACAAUUAUAACUUAAAGGGUUAAGACUUAAGGGUGUAGUCAGUAAGGAAAACCAAUGUUCUAUGCUCCAUUUACAGUCAUAAUCUACUUAAGGUCAAGAAAUAUAAUUCCUCAUUUCUUUAUAUAUCUAGACUACUAACUGUUUCCCUCGUCGCCAAGAGACUGAACUACUGAAGAGUGGUUGCUUUGCUCAAGUUUAGCUACAGCAUCUGGUCCAUAUAACCUUGUCAAUUCUUCCUUAAUAGAAUCGUUUUCAGAUUUGAGUUUCUCGCAUUCACCAGAGAUCCUCUGCAGUUCCUCUUUAAGAUUGUGAUUGUCAUUGGUCAAAUUCUCUACCCUGGCUUGUAGCUCUUCACACUCUGCCUGCUU
rnacentral:misc_RNA from 1 species